GCAUAUACAUUUACUUUAAAAGUAUUUUAAUGAUGAAAUUUCUUAACUAUUGAGAAUGUUUAUCAGGUUCAACUGUAAGUAUAUUAAUAGUUUCAUAUGCCAACUUCCUUGGAGGCAUUUAUGAUCACAUUUAAGUAAUGAUUGACCUGAAAAUCACACUAGUGGUUUUCACUUCUACUCUGGUGAUUUGCCUGGUUCCUCCAUCUACUUUUCUAAUAAAUUGGACAUUUUCCACAGUACCAAUAUAUAAAUUUUAUUCUUUUAGAGAGACCAUAUGAAGGGGAAAAAAAGAAAUCAUAGAAGAGCAUUUGAGGGAGAAGGAUCCUUGCUUACUUUGUUGAAGGAUAUUUGGAUUGGCAUCAUACAUAAUUGGCACACAGAACAAUCCUUGACUUAGAGGAUGGUUUCCUUGUUUUUUUUUUUUUUGUUUCCAAUCUUCUACCAACUGUAGGUUGAAGUUCUUUUGUGUAGUUUCUUAAUCCUGUAGAUGGGAUGUACCGCUGUGGCUGGCCUUGUUAUAUAUACACAUUUUAAUUCGUCAGAUAAACUGAUAAAUAAUCAAUUUCCAUUAUUUUGGUUCUUCUGCUUUUGUAAUUUCUUUAUGAGUGUUGCUGUUUAUAUUCAUCAUUUAGAUGUAU